rnacentral:lncRNA from 1 species
AGACCGGUUCUGGAGAGAAAGGGCUGAGGACUGGGAGGCUGCGGCGGCUGCUGGCUCCUACAGCCGCUAGCUCCAGAGGAGGCGCGGCCAGAGUCGCGGGGACGUUGCCACCAAGAGCGGGGAAGGUGCGGAGACCCCGGACCGCGCGCAAGAGAAAACGCGGCGGCCGCACAAGCUGUCACCUCCAACCUCUCCCCUCGCGGCUGCCUCUGCCAGAAGCCAGAGCCGGACUCACUGACAAGCCGCAGAGAGAAAGACACUGAGAGGGAGAUGAUUAUUAGUUGCGUUGAGUCAUCAGGCAAAGUGAGUCCUUUUGGGUUGUCCUCGGUUUCCGAUUUCUCCCCCUCCCCCUUUCGGUCCCCAGAUCUAGCGCCUUCAAAAUAAUAAUUUGGGGUGGGGGUAGGGGAUGUCUCUGGGUUAUUUCGGGAUGGGAAUGGGGGGGACGGAUCUAAACCCAAGCCAGACUGGUCCACCGCAAUGAAGGAGGGGAGUGGGGGGCGGGGAGGAGGGCUGGGGAGGUUGCGGGGGGAGGGGGGCCCCGCCUGGCAGGAAAUUAAACAUCAAUCAAUCAAUCGCUGUGAGCACGGCGACCCAAGGAGCCGGGCUGCGGAGGAGGCACAGGGAUAGGCGAGGGGGUGGGAGUCAGGGAAAAAGGAGGAAGGGGGGAGUCGGAGGUGGGAGCGGGGUGGCAAGGACCUCAUGCACCGGGCGACGAAGGACGGAUGGCUGAGGACUGAGUGUGGCGCGAGGCGGUGGCCACGGCCGACGAAUGGGUGCGUCUAAGCGCUGACGAACGCCAGGGCCCAGGGUCUGGUCCUCCUCCUUGUAGCAAGUCCAGGGCGCAGCCGCCUCGCCCAGCCCCUAGGCGCACUCGUCCCGGCGCGCAGGCUGCGGCGACUAGGCGGGCGCUCCGUGUCGCGGCUCGCCGCAGAGGCGCAGGCUGGCGCUCGGGAGGCGGCAGAGGCUGCCUCGUCUCCGGGCUCUGUUAAUUGCGCCGCCGAGUACUUUCGACUUUGGAGAUAGGAGGGCGAUCGCCUCCCCCACCCACCGCCUCCGCCCACCACCCACCGCCUCCGCCCCUCGGAGCAACUUUUCUCGGUGCGAGCGAGCUCCCCAUCUGCUCGGAGCCGACCGGCCCGGCCCGAAGCGCUCCCGGCCGCGUUUGGGGAAGGCCACUUCUCCCUCAAAUCCCGUGCGGCCGCGGGUCCGGAACAAUAGCCCGGGUGUCCCGAACGCCUGGAGCGAGACUCCGCCCGUCCGGCUGGCUGUGGGUCCGGCACUGGAGAAAGGGUUGCUCCGUGGGCACAAGGCAGGCUGCAUCCCUGCCACUCUCGCCACGCGGGCUACGUUGCGAGCGGCGCAGCCCGAGCUGCCCGGAGGCCAGAACACUGUGCCGGCCGGGGCGCUGAAGCUGCGCGCCCCUCGGGUUGCAGCACUGGGGCUCCCGAAGACCCUCAGCGGCUGAGGACCGAGUUCGGCGCGAGCAGAGCUGAGCCGUGGGGACCUAGCCUCUCCGCCCCGAGCGAGGCCGCGCCGAUGAGUCCCUAGCUGGUCCUUCUAAGGCUUAGGAGCCACAAACUUUUGCGGACUCCCGCGGCCCUAGCCUUUCGGCUCGCGCAGCUUUACUUGUUUAAGGUGGCGCGGUGACUGCCCGCCAAAACCCCGCUGCCGGCCGCGCUUUUGUCUUGGCCAUUCGGCAUGGGCGCGGACCUCCUUAAAAAAAAAAAAAAAAUAGCACGUGGGCAGGGGCCGCGGCCCCGGCGAGGUGCCUGCCGCGUCCGGCUUCUGUCAGCCCCUGGAACCUCAAAGGAGAAAAUAUGAACCAGUCCUCUCCGGCCUUCCGGCCAGAGAUGCCCCUUGAGCCGGCGGCAUCUCUUGUCCCUUCUGUGCACCGGGGCUUUCCCUCCAGUUCCCCAGGACCCCAAGGACUCGGCUUCCACCGGUUGCCUGAGCCACUAGUCCCCCUUAAGAAGUAUUGACUGUACGGCGGCGCCAGAGGGCCAAACUAAAUUCGGUUUCGGGAAACGCGCUCGAGGCAAUUCUCUAAAUCCUGGCCUUGAGCUGGGCCAGUGGAGAUUGAAUCUGAGAGUAGCGCUGGAGACUGGGCUGCUGUCCACUUGCUUGGUAGCCUACCCCCUUGACCCCACAACGCCCCAAGAGUCGCAAACCCACGGCCAGGGAAGCCUAAGGGCUUCUAAAAGAAAGAGGGUCCCCGAAACGAAACCUGUCCCUGGCCUAAAUCUCGGUGCCCAGACCUCGGUGAGUCCCACUCAAAGGAGCCGCCCACCAACUUCACCAGAAGCCCCAGGCGGCAAGGGGAGCCCUGCCGAGCCGAGUCGAGCCUGGCAGGGUAGUAAUCCUCCAGAGAGCCACCGCAGUUUUAGGAAGCCUUUUUCUUUUCCCUGUUUUUUUCUUCCCCCAAAUUCCGUGCUCCCACGAACAUGCCCAGCCAAAGGGGCUAAAGAAAAUUCCAAGCCCGUGAAAGCAAAGUGGCUCAAGUAAAAUCAGCCCUUGAAGGUAGCUGAAAGGUUGUUUUUUGGUUUUUGGUUUUUUUUUUUUUUUUUUAAAGCAAUGAAAGAAAGAAACUGUAAGUUUGAUUUACAAACUUUAAAAAAGAACAAUGUUAUAGCAUAUCGAAAUGAAAAGGGGUGUUUCAAAAACUUAGCUAUCGCUGUCAAACUAAGCCUGCUUUUUAAAUUGGAAAUGCAUAUAUUUUAUUUAUAUACUAACUGUAUUAAACCCCCCCCUCCCACCCCGUUUUCUUUCUUACCUUGGUGUUGGAACUACAGAAUCCACCUCCGGCCCAAUGUCCACGAACUAAGAAGAAUUGAUGAUAUUAGGACUUGAGGACUUCUGGAAAAAAAUGCAAAUCGUUUAGUGGGGAUCUUUUUUGUCUGAUUCGUCACUAUUAUUAUAUCUGAUGAUGCGAUGGUUGGAACGAUUCUAUCCUGUCAUUAAUUAGCUAUUUUAUAAAAAUCACUGUCGGAAAAUCGUCAUUUGCGUUUUGCUAAGGAUCUCUUCGCUAACCUCACUGGCGUGUGUCAACAGUAUAAUUAUGAACUUCAGCUACAACUCUUAUAAACAACACGGCAGUAUUGUUUAAUCGGUUAAUAUUUUAUAAAGUGUACAUAUUUUAUUAUGCUUUGAGGGGAACUAUUGAUACUAAGUUAUUUUUAAAAAGAGAAAGUCUAUUUAAAUAAAGCAUACAAUUAAGUUCAAUUAAAUGUGCACUGUGGCUAGAUUCUACACCCUUUCAAAUUCAUUAUUUCUUUUGUCUAUUUUUGAUAAUGUAAAGAAAAUCUACCAUUUGGAACAAGUAAUUCUAAAUUAUUUAAAAUUACAUUUUAAAAAUUAAACAAAUUACAUUUAAUAUACAUGACAAUGUGUAAUUUGAUGUCAUUACCAAAAGUGUACUUUGAAUGUUGGCAGAUUUAUUUUUAGUAGAGCAUUUUCAAAUUUCUCUCGUUUCAUAAAAGGAGAAUUCUAGAAAGUUUUGCCAUGCAUACCCAGUGUGAAUUUUUCCCUGUAGUUUUGACCCGGAUAAAGGCCUUUUCUGUUUCAAGUGACAUGUUUUUCCCAAUCCAGUUUUGUUAACUUCAUUUCAGCUAAAGCAAAUAUUUUCAAACACUUCUAAUUGCUACAGUAAUUUAUAUUUGAAAUAACACUUUUAAAACAUUUGUCAUUUUCAUUUUUAAAAACAGUGAAUAAAUAUAUUUGAUGAUGAUUCA